GACAGAGGCCUCGAGCGUUAGGCGGAAUCACUGGGCUUAAAGCGUGUGUAGGCGGAUCGUUAAGUGCCUUGUGAAAUCCCACGGCUUAACUGUGGAACGGCUGGGCAUACUGGCGGUCUUGAGCCAUCUAGGGGCGACUGGAACAAACGGUGGAGCGGUGAAAUGCGUAGAUAUCGUUUGGAACGCCAAUGGUGAAAACAGGUUGCUGGGGAUGUGCUGACGCUGAGACACGAAAGCCAGGGGAGCAAACGGG
rnacentral:rRNA from 1 species